rnacentral:rRNA from 1 species
CCCUUAGAUGUUCUGGGCUGCACGCGCGCUACACUGAAGCGUUCAACGAGUAUUCACCUUGCCCGGGAGGGUUGGGUAAUCUUUUGAAAACGCUUCGUGAUGGGGAUAGAUUAUUGCAAUUAUUAAUCUUCAACGAGGAAUUCCUAGUAAACGCAAGUCAUCAACUUGCAUUGAUUACGUCCCUGCCCUUUGUACACACCGCCCGUCGCACCUACCGAUUGAAUGGUCCGGUGAAGCCUCCGGAUUGGCGCGCACCUCGGUGCCGCCGAGAAGUUGGCUAAACCUUACCAUUUAGAGGAAGGUGAANUCGUANCA